ACAAUCGAUUGUUGGCUAUUUUUGAAAAUUUCCGGAACACUGUUUCAAGACAAUCGAUUGUUAUGCAUGGACGAUCGAUUGUUGGCUAUUUUUGAAAAUUUCCAGAACUGUUUCAAGACAAUCGAUUGUUAGCCAAAGACAAUCGAUUGUGGAUGAUUUUUGAAAAAUUCAUUAGUCUUAAUGGCAAUCGAUUGUUAGACAAAGACAAUCGAUUGUGGAUGAUUUUUGAAAAAUUCCAGAUUAGUCUUAAUGACAAUCGAUUGUUCGCCAAAGACAAUCGAUUGUUGAUCAAUUGUUUUUCAACUUUAAUGCGAAAAUAGUUGAUAAUCGACUAGUUUUUCAGGCUAGUCGAUUACCCCCACUGNN
rnacentral:lncRNA from 1 species